rnacentral:rRNA from 1 species
GACGAACGCUGGCGGCGUGCUUAACACAUGCAAGUCGAACGGAAAGGCCCUGCUCUUGUGGGGUGCUCGAGUGGCGAACGGGUGAGUAACACGUGAGUAACCUGCCCUUGACUUUGGGAUAACUUCAGGAAACUGGGGCUAAUACCGGAUAGGAGCUCUUGCUGCAUGGUGGGGGUUGGAAAGUUUCGGCGGUUGGGGAUGGACUCGCGGGUUAUCAGCUUGUUGGUGGGGUUGUGGCUUACCAAGGCUUUGACGGGUAGGCGGCCUGAGAGGGUGACCGGCGACAUUGGGACUGAGAUACGGCCCAGACUCCUACGGGAGGCAGCAGGGGGGAAUAUUGCACAAUGGGCGGAAGCCUGAUGCAGCAACGCCGCGUGCGGGAUAACGGCCUUCGGGUGGUAAACCGCUUUCGCCUGUGACGAAGCGUGAGUGACGGUAAUGGGUAAAGAAGCACCGGCUAACUACGUG